rnacentral:rRNA from 1 species
CUCAUUAAAUCAGUUAUCGUUUAUUUGAUAGUACCUUACUACUUGGAUAACCGUGGUAAUUCUAGAGCUAAUACAUGCUAAAAACCCCGACUUCGGGAGGGGUGUAUUUAUUAGAUAAAAAACCAAUGCCCUUCGGGGCUCCUUGGUGAUUCAUGAUAACUUCUCAGAUCGCAUAGCCUUGUGCUGGCGACGGUUCAUUCAAAUUUCUGCCCUAUCAACUUUCGAUGGUAAGGUAUUGGCUUACCAUGGUUUCAACGGGUAACGGGGAAUUAGGGUUCGAUUCCGGAGAGGGAGCCUGAGAAACGGCUACCACAUCCAAGGAAGGCAGCAGGCGCGCAAAUUACCCAAUUCCGAUGCGGAGAGGUAGUGACAAUAAAUACUGAUACAGGGCUCUUUUGGGUCUUGUAAUUGGAAUGAGUACAAUUUAAACCUCUUAACGAGGAACAAUUGGAGGGCAAGUCUGGUGGACAUUCAGCUCCCAUUCUGCUGACGCCAGAGAUAGUCGGGCAUCUCGUCGAGAUGUUACGCCGGCUAGUCGAUGUACCUACUGAAUUGAUGGGGAGGUACCGGCAAGACAACCUGGAUCGGGGAAGGCUAAGGCGCCGAAUGAGGUGCUAUGCUAAUCCCGAGCAGAGCUGCCGCAGAGCGAUCUGCGGACGGCCUGUGUAGAGCACGCUAAGGUGUCGGCCAGCUCACGUAGUUGGCUUAAGGGACGUGCCGUUCCCAUCUGAAAGGAUGGCUGUCAGCAAUAGCGCCCAUCACGCGAAGGCUGGCAGGUUCAAACAUGAUGUUAGCGGGGAUCACGCAUCACAGAAGGGCAGGUCUCGCUGGUCUCCAUGUUUGAAGCUCACAAAAGGCCAGCAGCCGCGGUAAUUCCAGCUCCAAUAGCGUAUAUUAAAGUUGUUGCAGUUAAAAAGCUCGUAGUUGAACCUUUGGCCUGGCUGGCAGGUCCGCCUCACCGCGUGCACUUGACCGGCCGGGCCUUUUCUUCUGGAGAACCGCAUGCCCUUCACUGGGUGUGUUGGGGACCAGGACUUUUACUUUGAAAAAAUUAGAGUGUUCAAAGCAGGCCUUUGCUCGAAUACGUUAGCAUGGAAUAAUAGAAUAGGACGUGCGGUCCUAUUUUGUUGGUUUCUAGGACCGCCGUAAUGAUUAAUAGGGACAGUCGGGGGCAUCAGUAUUCAAUUGUCAGAGGUGAAAUUCUUGGAUUUAUUGAAGACUAACUACUGCGAAAGCAUUUGCCAAGGAUGUUUUCAUUAAUCAGUGAACGAAAGUUAGGGGAUCGAAGACGAUCAGAUACCGUCGUAGUCUUAACCAUAAACUAUGCCGACUAGGGAUCGGGCGGUGUUUCUAUUGUGACCCGCUCGGCACCUUACGAGAA